UAAGUGUGACAGGGAGGCAACACGUCGAACGUGGUUCGCGGUAGGCCCUCAGAGGGCCUACCGCGAAAACCGAAACUCGCAAAUUGCGGGGAUCUUUCUCUUUUACUCUCAUUAAGACGUAAUUAGAGUGACAGAGAAAAAUGCCCGCAAUUGAUGAACUUCGAUUUUCGCUGUUAUAGCCCAGAAGGGCUACCGCGAAAACCGACAUUCGCUAAUUGCGGGGAUCUUUCUCUUUUACUCCAAUGAAGGCGUAAUUAGU